UUUUUCCCACCGCUUUACCAAAUAUCCCUCGUUCUCUCUCUCUCAAAUCAUCACCCCUUUCUAAAAUAUCUCCCUCUUCGUUCGCUCUGGGAGAUCGCCAUGGCCGAAAUUCGUCGAUCUCAUCGCUGAACUCGUCGCUAAUCUCUUCGCCGUUUUCCGAUCUCAUCGUCUCCGAUCUCAACUCUGAUUUCAUCGUUGAUCUUGUAACUAAUCUCUUCGUCGAGCUGCUGGUCUCGUCUCCGAUCUCAUCUCCGAUAUAGGUCGUCGAGCUCGCAGCUAAUCCGUCUCCGAUCUCACUCUCCUUUGGACUCUCAGGUGUAGAGAAAGUGACGGUGGAUAUCGAAAGCAACAAGCUCACCGUAAUUGGGAAAGUGGACCCAAUAGAGAUCCGCGAUCUGGUUCAGAGCAAAAGUCGCAAGAAAGUGGAGCUCAUCUCGCCUCAACCAAAGAAGAACAAGGACGGCAAGAAGGAGGAUGCUCCCAAGUCCAAAGAGCCUUCAUUGGUGACUGUGGAGUUAAAAAUUCGGUUGCAUUGUGAGGGUUGCACUAAGAAAACCAGAAAGAAAAUUAUGGGUAUUAAAGGGGUGGCAAGUGUGUCCAUGGACCCUGCAAAGGACCAGGUCACGGUGAAAGGUAACCUUUUGUGUAGCUGUUCAAAAUGAGACCCUCUCCACCUUGGCAAUAUAAAUACUGAAUAGAAUGUGAAGUUUUAUUAAUUAGUUUUGAUUUUAACUUGUAUAUUGUUAUGUUAUUGUAGGAGAAGUAUUCAAUUGCCGAUUCAGGACGAAAAUAGACCUUACAAACAAUUAAUAGUGCAUGGAAAAGAAAUGUUGUGAAUGUAGAAUAUAGGAAAAGGGUAUGCAACUGGGGAAAUCCAUAACAGAAAUCCUAAUGGAAUGUUGUGCAACUCUUCAGUACUUGUAAUUUGUAGGGUUCAAGUUCAAAUUACAAAAAUCUUAGUUCUUAUGUUGAAGAUUACCAACUAAUAAGAACUAACGAAUGUUUGUGUUCAGCCCUAAUGGAUGUUGAAGAGUACUAACUGAUAUUUGUGUUUAAACAUUCAGUUCUUAUGUUUUUGUUUGCAAUAAUAUGUUUCGGUGCUUCAAGGAUAUUGACAUCUCACUAUUUUGAGACCAUGGUGAUUGUAUCUGUAUGUCUAAAUAUCCUAUUAUAUGUAAAAUGAUUAUUCUCCCUCCUA